GAAACCUCAUCUUGCUCACACGCCAUCCGGGCGUUGAGCAGUGUUUUACAGAACAUGGACAUUCCGUCCGGGUGAAGAGAGAGG
ncrna:unclassified sequences RAGATH-10 RNA